rnacentral:lncRNA from 1 species
CUCUCAGAGAAAAAAAAAAAAAGACCAUAAGAAAUGGAAAGCCAAGAAGACACAAUUUUGAUUGUAGGUUUAUCUUGCUAUAUUUUGAUGAGAAAACGAGGCCUUGUUAAGCGUGCUGAAAGCAAAAUAUUUGAAGGGUAG